CUCCUCCCAAGUUCUAAAUGACCUUUCGCUCAUCCAAGAUCAACUGCAGAGGAGGACGAGGGAAAUUUUAUAUGGGAACAAUUAUCUGAAAAAUAGAAUGUCCUCAUUUGUAUGGUCAAGGCUGGGUUGCAGAGAAGUCCAUGUUGCAGCUCAUGGAAAAAAAGAACCAAAGGGACUCAAGAACACUGGCUUAUGUCUUAGAUUGGAGAUGACCUGGAAAGUCAACUUUCACCCAUAACCCAUUGGCCUAAAACAAUAGAAGGCAACUGGAAAAGAGGCAAGGAUUCUAACUACAUACUGCAGAAAAAAUAUUCACACCUGUCAAAUUCCAACAGCUGGCAUUGUUGUUGUUCUACGAAUAAGCACACACAGAAUCCUCGUGAAUAGUUCUUUGUCUCUUGCUCUAGUAAAUCAUAACCUGCUUGUAGCUUUUUUAUGAACCUUCAGGAAUAACUCUUCAGAGGAUGCUAAUACAUCAUUAAGAUUAAAUUGAACCUCAAAGGUGGGUUUUUUUUCCAAAAUGAUAAAGGCCACCAACACUGCAAGGUUUGCCGUCAUUCCCUUGAUCUGGUAAGUGACACCGUCUUCAGGGUUUGUGUACUCAAAGAUAUGAUUAAUAAAACGGUGACCAAGACGUGUGACGUAAUGCUGGUCAUGGACCUGUGGAUGCAGGAAAUAGGCCAGAGGCACCAGGAAUACAUCCUUAACUUCAGCAGGAUUCGGCUGGGCCUGGAAGUUGUGGUCUAUUAAACCCACAAAUGGAGUUAUCAAUGUAUCUGUCUAAAAGCAGAAAACAAAACAGACAAAUUAAGAAGUGAAGUGAUACUGCUUCAAAUCCUAAAAUCAUGCCACUUCUAGGUGAGCUAAGAAAAUACACCGAACCUGGGAGAAGGGGAAGAAAGCUUAUUCCGGAAACAAAUUUAUGUUCCCCCUAAAAUGGGAGUCAUCCUGCUCUACCUGAGGUGACAUCUAUGAGAUGACUCUGAAAAUGAUUUCUUGUAUGAACAUAAAGUAGUACAAUCUUUUGGAAUGGCAAUUUGGCAGUAUCAUAAAAAUGUGUUCGCUUUGACCUGGGAAUUGCAUUUGUGUAUCUGUAUGAUAAAUUCCUACCAGUAAGAAAAGACACAAGUAUAAACCUGAAGAAUUAGUUUCAACAACAGCCCCAAAUUCUAAAGUUAUCACUCUUCACUUUAUAGGCAUUUAGGUUAUAUAAAUUAGGGUUAUAUCCAUAAAAGAGGAUACUAUGUAGCCUUUAAAAACAAUGGGAUAGACAUCUUUCCUUCUCAGUAAAGAAAAAAAUGUGCUAUACUUAUGAACAGAAAAGUAAAGUGAUAUAAUACUAGUUAUGACAUAUUCCCAUUUAUGGAAAAAUUUCAUAGUACAUACACAUAUAUAUAUAAUUAUGUGUCUUAUAUAUAACUAUAUGUGAACUACUUUAUAUAACACACAUGUAUAUAUUACAUGGGAGAGGGAUUUCUAUUUACAACCACAACUGCUUGCAAAUGAACAUGAGUGGCCGGGUGUGGUGGCUCACGCCUGUAAUCCCAGCACUUUGGGAGGCUGAGGUGGGCGGACCACCUGAGGUCAGGAGUUUGAGACCAGCCUAGCCAACAUGAUGAAAUCCCGUCUCUACUAAAAAUACACAAAUUAGCCGGGUGUGGUGGUGCGUGCCUGUAAUCCCAGCUACUCAGGAGGCUGAGGCAGGAGAAUUGCUUGAACUUGGGAGGCGGAGAUAGAUUGCAGUGAGCCGAGAUCAUGCCACUGCACUCCAGCCUGGGUGACAGAGAGAGGCCCAGUCUCAAAAAUAAAAAUAAAUAUAUAAAAGUAAAAAAGCAAAUGAACAUGAGUGUUGUCAAAUGAAAGACUGUUUUGUUAUACUGGAAACCCUGAGAGGGAGGCCUGGGGCUGAGUGAGGAUGUGGGAACUGGUAAGAGCUGCCUGCCUUUGUAUUAGAAAGUGAGAAGAACUGGAAUUCCUGGAGCAUCCCAAGAGGAAGUGGGUGGAAAAAGCCAGAGAGGUAGACACAUGGUGAGGCUGGGACCUAUCCGGCCUGCAGAAUGUUCUGAGGGACAGCCAAAGACAGGAAACCAAAUUUAGGAACAGAGACAACUCAGACCAUUAACCAAAAUAAUAGUGAAAGUCAACAUUUGGACCAGGAGGAGACAAGAGGAACAUAGACUUCGUAUGUCCUUGGGGCAGGAAAUUUGGGGUCAUUAAGUUACCCGAGGGCAGAGGCAACAUUCUACCAGCACGUAACACCACACCUGGCAUUGGGGAAAUGCUUAGUCUCUGAAUAUGGAGUUUUCCAGGUGGACUCUGAGAUAAGGACUCAGAUGCAAGUGAUUUUUUAAGAAAGUGCUCCCAGGGGAAACAGUUAAGGGGAAGAGGGGAGCAAUACUCAUAAGGGAAGAAGGCUGGCAAGGGCACCAUGGGGUGUUCUGGAGGGUAAAUUAAUAUGCAGUUUGUCCCACAUGGAGACAAGGGAGCUGGGAUUUCAUGCUCCCCAGCCCCAGUCAGUCACUGGUUAAGGACUACCUUGCCAGAGGUGAAUUCACAGGCACUCCCAGCUCUCUGUGCAGGACACAUGGCAAGGUGGCUCCAGUAUCAAGGGUACCAGUAUUCAGAAGAAAGCUGCCAAGUGUUGUCAGAGGCGUUUGAACCAGAGCAACUCCAUCUUGAAUAGGGGCUGGGUAAGAUAAGGCUUGGAGCUACUGGGCUGCAUUCCCAGGAGGUUAGGGCAUGCUUAGUCACCAGAUGAGACUGAGAUACAAGUCAUAAAGACCUUACAGUAAAGAAGGCCAUCAAAACGCACCAAAACCAAGAUGGCAAUGAAAGUAACCUCUGGUCAUCCUCACUGCUCAUUAUACGAUAAUUAGAAAGCAUUAGAAUGUUAAAAGAUACUCCCACUAGUGCCAUGACAGAUUACAAAUGCCACGGCAAUGUCAGGAAGUUACCCUACAUGGUCUAAAAAUGGGAGGAACUCUCACCUCUGGGAAUUGCCCAUCCCUUUCCUGGAAAACUCAUGAAUAACCCACCCCUUGUUUAGCAUAUGAUCAAGAAAUAACCAUAAAAAUGGCCAACCAGCAGCACAUGCUGUUGCUCUGUUAUGGAAUAGCCAUUCUUUUUUUUCUUUACUUCUCUAAUAAACUUGCUUUCACUUUAUGGACUCACCCUGUGAGAUCCUAGAACCCUCUCUUAGGGUCUGGAUCAGGCCCCCUAUCUGGUAACAGUGAGUUAUCAGAAGCCCUGGGGUUGUAAGAGGAAUAUGAAGGGGCCUGGACAGAGCCCCAACAAUGUAUGCUCAGUAAAUAUUCGUGGUUGCUGCUACCAUUGGUGACCACAACUUACGGGCACCUAGUCUAGUUCCCAGCACCCUCUGAUUCCUUACAACAAUCUGAUCGCGAAGAAGCCUUAACAACUACAAUUAGAGACGUGAAGAAACUUGCCCAAGGGCAUAUUCUGCUGAUACUUGGCAGAAACUGGAUUCGACCACAGAUGUGUUGCUCAUACUCCUGGGUAUAUUUCAGAGACCUUUGCAAAAAGUAGUACAUAAAUGUCUGACAAAAGGGAAAACUGGGGUGGGGGUUGUGGUGUCACAGCCUGCCUGGAAGGCUUAUGUAGCGGGUACAUACAUAGGUGCAUACAUACAUAGGUAGCUACUCUGGAGGCUGAGGCAGGAGAAUUGCUUGAACUUGGGAGGUGGAGGUUGCAGUGAGCUGAGAUCACUGGGACUCGAGAUCACUUGAGAAAAGCCAAUAGCACCCUUCCACUCCCAGCUAUGAUCUCCAGACAUUACCAAAUUCCCCAGGGUUGAAAAAUCACUCCAGGUUAAGAGCCACGUAGAUUAGAUUAUGCUUAUAAUUUUCAAUAAAUGGCAUUUUUGUGAUACAUUUUAAAAAUUAGCAGGGGCCAAAAAACAAAGCAACCCUCCCUUGCACUUCCAAACAAAGCAGACUUUUUAAAGCCUUUGUUUAAUCUCUCAAUCACGCCAUUUUAGAAAUCUCCUGUUCCAGGAGUAUCUGGCCCCCAGGAAUCUCCCAGAGACACUUUCCUGUUAAUGCUCCUGAAUUCUAUCCACCCACAUGCAGAACUCAGUAGCACCUGGGGACCUUGGGAACAGAGUUAGUCUCAUUUUGGAAACUUUUAAUCAGUAUAGCUAAAUUAGUUAAUUGAUUUCUAAAGUAAAUCCUCCAAAUGCUGGUGGAUUUGCGGAAAUCAACUGUAAAGAGUUCCCAUUAGAAAACCAAAUGGAAAAGUAAUUGACACAUUUCGUGUGUAAUCCCAUGUCUCCAUCUCGCUUUCAUACACACACACUUAGAAAACAUUUAUUGAGUGGCCACUAGCUUUUUGCAAACAAAACCACCCUUGGGUACUGACCUUUCUAUUUUUAAAAAGGACCCAAUUAAGACAGACAUUGUCUCAGCAUCACUGAUCUUCAAAACACUGCCCCACCAAGACUUCAGUCAAGUGGAACAUAAAGGAUCAUCUAACCCACUGGUUUUCUAAGUGUUAGGCAACAGUGGGACU
rnacentral:lncRNA from 10 species